UUUCAACGAAAUCACGUGCAAUUCCCGAUUACUACGAAUUAAACUUUUAAUUUCAAUACCUGUGUGAUGCAAGUGAAAGAUCAUUAUUUAUUCAUACAAUACAAUUUGAUUGCGAAUCAACAAUAUGCGAGUGUUGAAAUUGAGGAAAAUUCUCUAGGGAACUUUGGCACAUACAUAGAAUUCAGCACUGAGCAGAAAUGUUUUGCAUUUUUACUGUAAACGACCGAAUUCAUAAAUAUCUUCCAGCAAAUAAAAAGUUUGAAUCGAAUAAAUUCAGUCGCUACUUGAAACCGCAACUUUUGGCCCUAUUUGUCUCGGCCAUUGAGGCUGAAGACCGCUGAAGACAAAAUGGAAAAGCAAAACAAUGAAUUUGUUAAUAUUGUUUGUAAUGGUGCAGUGGCAGUAUAGUAGGCGAUCAAAUCCUACCAUCAAGGAGAAAUUGUCGGCCUUGUUUCUUGACCUAGAAAUUUCAAGACACACAUAAGACAAGGACGUUAAAACGCUGAAGUCGUCCGAAACGAGAUCAGUACUGAGCGUGCGUAUUGCACGUUUGGUAUUUAUUUUGCCAUUGUAGUUGGCGUGAAAAAAAUGUCUUCGAGCCGACAGCCUUUUAGAGAAAUCGACGGGACGAUCUAUUGAAUAUUGAAUAAGCACACCUCCAUUGUAAACAUUCAGGCAGAAUAAUGUUCAUUCGAACCCGCAAUCAAGCGAGCAUCAUGCAGUUUUUAUGAGUCGUUAGAAAACGCCAGAAAUUGGGGGUUUGCUUGAAACAGAAGGACUUUCAAAUAAGCGCUACUGAACUCUUAAAACUUCCAUUCUAGGGAUUUCUAACCAUGAAAAAAACGUCCUGUUUCAGCAUUUAUAUAAACAUUCCAAAUAAUAAUUGUAACAAUUAAAA